UGGGGGGGGUCUACAAUGCGCUCGAGCGGUCGACUGGGAGCUUGGUCACGGGCGAACAGGGUAAUCCCAUCUGGUCACAUCUGAUGGCCUGAGGGAUGAAGGGGGACACUUUGGUCUUGGGACGCUUGCGGGAUUAACUACCGUUUACCGAAGUGAUCCCCCUCCAUCAGGCAGUUUCCCAGACAUUACUCGAUGGUCCGCCCUUGUUGCCCAGGAACGGGUCACCAGGGGGACGAUCCCAAGCUGUGUGGAGAGGAUGGCCGCCCCCACUGUAUCUGAGCCCUGAUCAAACUCUCUAAGGAGGCCCAGUGGGGAAUAUUGUACACUGGGCGCAAGCCUGAUGCACCCAUGCCGCGUGUGUGAAAAAAGCCUUCGGGUUGUAAAGUACUUUUUGCGAGGAGGAAAGGGAUGUGGUUAAUAAUCGCAUUCAUUGUUUUUAUUUUUCAGAAAAAACGCGGGGGGGGGGGGGGUGCCACCAGCCCCGGUAAUACGCAGGGGGGUAAGGCGUUAAUCGCAAUUACUGGGGGGGGAAGCGCACGCAGGCGGUCUGUCAAGUCUCAUAUGAAUCCCCGGGCUCUACCUGUGAACUGCGUUCUAAACUGUCGGGCUAUAGUCUUGUGUAGAGGGGUAUAAAUUCACGUGUAUCGGUGAAAAUGCGUAUAGAUCUCCAGGAAUACCGCUGCCGAAAAAGGGCCCCCCCGCGACAAAAAACUGACGCUCAGAUGCUGCAAACCGUGGGGAGCAAAACAGGAGUAAUAUAACACUGGUGAGUCCACCCUGUAAACAAUGUCGACAUUGCAGAUGUUUCCCCUCGAGGAGGGGCUUCCCGAGCUAAACACGCU
rnacentral:rRNA from 1 species